CUUGGUCAUUUAGAGGAAGUAAAAGUCGUAACAAGGUCUCCGUUGGUGAACCAGCGGAGGGAUCAUUACCGAGUUUACAACUCCCAAACCCCUGUGAACUUAUACCUUUUACCGUUGCUUCGGCGGGUUCUCGCCCCGGAACAGGUUCUUCCUGCCCGGAACCAGGCGCCCGCCGGGGGACCUAAACUCUUGUAUUUUUUACAUUUACAUGUCUGAGUGGAAUCAUAUCAAAUGAAUCAAAACUUUCAACAACGGAUCUCUUGGUUCUGGCAUCGAUGAAGAACGCAGCGAAAUGCGAUAAGUAAUGUGAAUUGCAGAAUUCAGUGACAUCAUCGAAUCUUUGAACGCACAUUGCGCCCGCCAGUAUUCUGGCGGGCAUGCCUGUUCGAGCGUCAUUUCAACCCUCAAGCCCCCGUGGUUUGGUGUUGGGGACCGGCGAUCCUCGCUGCCUCGGCAGCGUUGCGCCGCCCCCGAAAUGAAUUGGCGGUCUCGUCGCGGCCUCCUCUGCGUAGUAGCACAACCUCGCAACAGGAGCGCGACGCGGCCACUGCCGUAAAACGCCCAACUUUUUUAGAGUUGACCUCGAAUCAGGUAGGAAUACCCGCUGAACUUAAGCAUAUCAAUAAGCGGAGGA
rnacentral:rRNA from 1 species